AUGUACGGGAGAGGCAGCCGGGAGGGGGGAGGAAGGGGGGAGGCACGGAGCAAGCAAAAUGAGCUGCAGGCUAUUUGCGGGGAGAGCGGCAGAGCGGCACGGCCCCUUCGCUCGGCUUCGGGGCUACCCGAGGGACGGCAAUCAGCAGCACCCAGGCGAGCACCAGCGCGACGGACGGGCCGAGCGAGAGCGCCGUUUCCUGCAGCUCUGGACAGGCUGUGCCGGCGUGAGGACAGCCCAGAAGCUCGGAUCGAGCCAGGAUGGAGGGAGAACCGCUCGGCUUCUAGGAAGAGCACUGGCAGGGUCACGAGAGGCGUGAGCAUGGCUAAUUCAGGAAGCCACACUUUGCUGUUUCCGUGGAUAGAGGUGGAGAGGGCUUCUUCGAGGGGAAGGAAUUACUUGCCUAAUGCUGAUAGGAGAUUGCCUGGAUCCAGACUUCUGCUUUACUAGGGAUGCGGAGAAUGCUUACGCUUCCACCUCGAAAAAUCCCCAGGAAAUUCAGAGCGCAGGUGCAUCGCGCCCCUGCUGCGUUCACCCGAACGCCGUCCCGAAGCAGGACAGUGCCACAAGCAGCCACCACGGGGAGGCCCCGGCUGCCAACGGCAGCAACACCGCUGCAGGGGAUUCCUCCUCCUAUCAGGAAAACAUACGUAAAGAUGACCAUUUUCGGUCUUCUUUCUAAAGACAGGAGAUCUGGUUCUCAUUUUUCCCUGUACAGUCAGUAGCAAACGCAGACGGAAGGAGCCCCGGACGCUGCUGCAGAAUAUCACGGCAAAGCGCACGUGAAGCACCACCGUUUGAACAAGCAGGAUGGUUUUGCUGCCAGUCUCUUUUCCCCCCCCCGAAAGCCACACAGGCUGGCAGCGUGCUUCCUGUCGUCGUCUCGUUAUUUUUUAAAGCAGCGCUCAAGCGAACGACAAAAUGCAAAGGGUGGGUUUCGAGGCCCCUCGCUCCCUUCCAGCGCCGAGCUUCGCCUGCUCGGUGCCCUGUGCGCGCUGGGGCGUUUUCAGCUCGCGACACCCCGGCAGCACAGGGACCGUAAACCUGCCGAAGUCUCACCCUCCCCAGGCCUCGGACGUUAACCUGCCAGCGCACACAACUAACUUCAAAGCCCGUGUUUGAACCAGACUCUCCUCAGCCCAGAAAGCUGGCUGAGUUUUAUAAAGAGAUUCCUGCUUCCCAGUGCUGAAAAAGAUUUUACCAAACAGUUUUAGAACAAAAUCAUGAAAUAAUUCUCCUCCCUUCUGUUUUUCUCAGAUCCAGGCCUUUCAAAAAUUUAAGGUACCAGGCUUCAAUACUGAACGUUGAUGUUUCAUACUACCAAGUUACAUGAGAUCACUCAAGGUUCAUCUACAGUUACGAGCUA
rnacentral:lncRNA from 1 species